ACCGCGCUUUUAGAAUCUCCUCAGCUGAAUCUGACGCUCAGCAGUGGGUGAAGCGCAGCCCCCUGUUUCAGGCCCCGCCGAGCUGGAAGGAGUGUCAGAGCUGGAGCGCGCGUGGCCCCCUCUGUGUUGGGGUCACCCCGGGGUUGCCAGGGCUCAGGGAGGGUCGUAGUCUGGAUUUUGUCACCCGCACGUCCCCACCCACCAGCAGGUCUGGGGUUGGAGAAUCCACGCGGGCUUCAUAAGCUAGAUGCCAGUUAACCGUCGAGAGGGGACGCUCCCUCCUCGUAGGCGUCCACACUGGAGAAGGAAUAAGAUGGGCGAUUGCCUGGGAAGCCUGACAGGGCGGCGGCAGCUGGGAUGCUGGAGAGGACUGGCCCCUUGAGUUACUGAGUCCGAUGAGUGUGCUUGCUCUGCUGGAGGAACAGCGCUCAGACAUCCAAGUGGAGAUAUGGCAUUUAAAUUCAUGAGAUCGGAUGAGAUCCCACCAAAGGAACAGGUUUAGGUAGAGACAACCAAAUACCGAUGCCUAGGACACUGCAGUGUUUAGAAUUCAAGGAGAUGAGAAGGAAACAGGAGGGAAGAUUGAAAAGAAGAGUCCAGUGUGUCAUGAGGAAAACCCCAAGAGCACGCUGCCUUACAAGACAGGUGAAAAAUGUGUUCUGUGAAAGAAAGAGUAAUUAACUGUUAAAUGUUACAGACUGAUCAAAUAAAAUGAAGACUGAGAAUGGCCUGUUUGUAAGAUGGAGUCCUCCUCUGUCACCCAGGCUGGAGCGCAAUGGUAUGAUCUCGGCUAACUGCAACCUCAGCCUGCCAGGUUCAAGCAAUUCUUCUGCCUCAGCCUUCCGAGUAGCUGGGAUUACAGGUGCCUGCUGCCAUGAUGAUUAAUUUUAUUUGUUAACUUAGCUGGGCUGUGUUGCCCAGAUAGUUGGUUAAACAUUACUCUGGAUGUUUCUGUGAAGAUGUUUUUGGAUGAGGUUAACAUUUAGAUCGAUGGACUUUGAGUAAAGCAGAUUACCUUUCAUAAUUUGGGUGGGGCUCAUCCAAUCAGUUGAACAUCUGAAGAGACCAAAAGACUGACCUUCUGCAAGCAAAGAAAAAUUCUGCCAACAGACAGCCAUUGGACUUGAACUUCAACAUUGACUCUUCAGUCUAUUGGCCCACGCUGCAAAUUUUGGACUUGCCAAGGCAGGGUUUCACGACAUUGCCCAGGCUGGUCUUCAGCUCAAGUGAUCCAUCCGCCUUGGCCUCCCAAAGUGCUGAGAUUACAGGCAUGAGCCACAGUGCCUGGCCCAAAUUAUUGUAGUUAUUUCCAAUUCCUUUCCCCCUUCUCAUAUCCCAAUUAAAGAAUUCCACUCAGGAA